AGCUCAGAUGGUAGAGCGAUCGCUUUGCAUGCGAUAGGUAAGGGGAUCGAUGCCCCU
rnacentral:tRNA from 1 species